rnacentral:rRNA from 1 species
GAUCCUGGCUCAGGACGAACGCUGGCGGCGUGCUUAACACAUGCAAGUCGAACGCUGAAGGCCCAGCUUGCUGGGUUGGAUGAGUGGCGAACGGGUGAGUAACACGUGAGUAACCUGCCCCCUUCUUUGGGAUAACGGUCGGAAACGGCUGCUAAUACCGGGUAUUCACUGUCCUUCGCAUGGGGGUGGUGGAAGGUUUUUCUUGGUGGGGGAGUGGGCUCGCGGCCUAUCAGCUUGUUGGUGGGUGAUGGCUU